AAAACCCUUACCUCCUACCAGCCGAUCCGCGUGCCCAUUCUGUCGGCUCUUCAUCUGUUCAUGUUGCUUUGAUCCAAUGGACGAGAUCGUGUUCGCGCCCGUUGGAACCAUGACCGAGCCGGGACCAUUUCCUGAAACAUCCUCGUUGUUUCAGGACGACAUUCGUGCAACUAGAAGCAGCCAUCCCCGCAGCAGCAUGCGCUUGGUGCCUGGGAAGGCGCCGACGACUGGAUCUGGGAAGGCGGCGGUGCGACCGGGGCUACCCCACCGCCGUGACGAUGACUACGUCUUCGGGAGCGGCGGCGGCCGUUGACAACCCAAGUAGCAUGGUACCAAACCCGAUGGUUGGCAAAGUGGCUACGCAAGAUAGCCAACACUGUCAAAGGGAAAAAGUGGGAUAUCAUAAGCAAGUCCUCUUUUGGGGAUUUUCUUCAUAUACUUCUUUGGUUCCUCCUCCAUAAGCUCUUGUUGAUUUCAUAGUCAUGAGGAUUGAUACCAAAAAGCGUAUGCUAAAGUUAACUGACCGCAAGAAGAUCCACCUCACAAGAUAUAUGGUUAAGAAGAUAUUCAAUCUACCAUCUGGUAACAAGCCAUUAGAAUUCAACAAAAGAGGAAAAACAGAUUUCCGCGAGGUUUAUUUGGAUGGUGAACGGGCUCCAAUACCCACCACAAUUGUUGUUUUAUCGAAUGCUAGUGAUGACGACGAGGAGAUCAUUGAUUUUGCUUUGCCUUUCAUUGGUCCUAGCUCCUGCGAUAUGAAAUAUGGUGCCUCUAGAUUAUUUAUACAUCUUAGGAGACAUGAGUGUGUCCAUGAGUUCGAGCGGGACGAGCAUAUUCUGUUUGAUGUGAUGAGGGAAGUUAAUAAAUACCAGGAUAAGAGGAAUGAUGGUAAACUGAAAUUCCUGAUUGGCGGUUGUCUACCAAUGCUUCCCGUACUUCCCUUCAUUCCGUAACAACCGCCUUUUCUUUGUUUCCGGAGCAUCCCGCUUUUAUAGUGGAUCACGUGUCUUCUUUUUUUGCACGUAAUUUACAUGGACCACAUUGACAUUCCAAGAGGAUGCAUAGUUGAUCAUACCAUCUACUAUUCUCUGCCACAUGUUUGUUUUGUCUAGGAUUUGGAUUUCACCAUUGUAAUCGCAAUUGACACCCUAGAAGAUGCUUUCGGGCAGCCAUGUCCAUUACACCGUACGCAACAACCAAGUUACUGUCAUACAUAUACCAGCUUGCCCAGUUAUCCAUCCAAGCUAGUGUGACAUAGGAGCCACCAGAAAUAAUUGUCCAAGGUGGAGCUAGUGCAUUCGCAACACACAGUUUGGAUGUGUCGGAUAAAUCGCACACACAAUAAAAGCUACAAGGAGGAUUCGUUGAGGGCGCUCAAGGACCAUCUAAGGGUGGUAUGGAUGGUGAUGAUGGCACAUCGGGGAAUGUGCAUGAGCCACCUUUGGAUAACAUGAAAGGUGGUGAUGAUGUGUGUGGCUCUUUGGAGGAGUUGCUGCAUCCGCUACCUACAAUUGAGGAGUUAGAGCUACCCCCACAUAUGUGUGCCAUAUACAACAAGCAUAAAGAGAUCUUUGCUAUAGAACUUAAAGCCGAAGUGAGGUCAUUUGAGAGGUUGUUGCUGGGCAUGUACUGCAAACGAUUGGCCCUAAUGCUGUCUGAGGCAUCCAAAGCUGGUUCGAGGAGCGACGAAGCCAAAUAUGAAGGUACGGAUGUCACUUUUGAUGUACCAGUAGCUCAUGCGGACAUGUUUGGUGCCAGUGUCACUGUACCCUUUGCUGAGCCGUCAAAUAGUGAUGAUUUCCCUGGCACAACUUUAGGCAUGGAUGAUGCAACUGCCAGUGACUCGAAUCAACCGGAUGGGACUACAACAACUACUGAUGCAUCUCCUAGUGGCUCGUCUCCGCAGCAGCAGAAGCAACCGGAUGGGACUACAUCAACUACUCAUCAAACUGUCAAUGUUUCAACUCCGUAGCAGCCUAAACAAUCGGAUGGCAUGAAUGGGACUAGAGCAACAACUGAAGCCACUGUCACUUUAUCGUCUCUACAAUAGGCUAAGCAAUCUUAUGGCACAAAGAGUGGGGAUCCAGCAGUGGAAGUUGGUCACACAAAUCCUGCCCAACCACCCAUCAAGAGUGAGAGUGAGCACAACAAUUCCAAGGGAGAAGAUAUAUGCAGCAAGGAGAAAAACAGUGAACAUAUUUCACCUCGCAGCCCAAAUGACCCAUCCUUGAAUUUGAUUAGGUGGUAUGCACACUUGAAGAUGUCCCAUCAUUUAGCUUGUUUGAACCUAGCAGUGACGACGCUAAACUAUUUCACGAUCCUCCACAAGUUUCACCAGCAAGAUCACCUGGUGGUCCUGGUCCUAUUUGUGAUGUGAAUCCUCUCGCAACAUGCCCCCAAUAUCAGGAGGCCCUGCAGAAGCAGGUGUUGUUGAAAUAAGAGAGGAGGUGCUGGUUGAAGUCAGCAGUGGACGAAGCCAUGAUCAUAUGAAGCCAACAAGACAUAAGAGAGUUUGAUAUGUCUCCAACGUAUCUAUAAUUUUUGAUUGUUCCAUGCUAGUAUAUUAUCUGUUUUAGAUGUUUUACAUGCGUUAAUAUGCUGUUUUAUAUUAUUUUUAGGACUAACCUAUUAAUCCAGAGCCUAGUGCCAGUUCU